GAGCAGGUGACAGCCCAGCCGACUUUAAUGCUCCAUUCGGGGUACUGGUAUUCUUCGCCCAACAUUUCCUCAUAGCCGAGUAUGGAGAAUAUAAAAAUGGCCUGCAAUAAAAAUACCGGACUUAUAUAAGUCCAACAGAUGCGCCAGAAAAUACCCGGUUUAAUGCCCAACAUCUGUUCCACAUCUUCAGAGAAACGAUCGACGCCGUAAAACCAAAACACGCCAGCCGCUUCCACGAAUACCACGAAUAAUAUAGCCAGACCGGGUCCGUACACGUUCAAGAAGUUUACCAAGAACACGCCGCCCUAGAAAUUUUUAUUAUAUAAAAAAUAGACGAUAAAGUAUAUUGUUUAUAAAAAUAUGUUUUAAAGUAGUA